GUGGAAUUUUAAAGAGAGGCCAGAAACCUCCCGUGGAGCAGAAGGGCAAAAGCUCGCUUGAUCUUGAUUUUCAGUACGAAUACAGACCGUGAAAGCG
rfam:Colinus virginianus strain Texas jcf7180006226546, whole genome shotgun sequence.